UAUUGGUCAAUGGGCGGGAGCCUGAACCAGCCAUGCCGCGUGCAGGAGGACUGCCCUAUGGGUUGUAAACUGCUUUUGCGAGGGAACAAACGGCGGUACGCGUACCGUUUUGAGUGUACCUUGAGAAUAAGGAUCGGCUAACUCCGUGCCAGCAGCCGCGGUAAUACGGAGGAUCCGAGCGUUAUCCGGAUUUAUUGGGUUUAAAGGGUGCGUAGGCGGCGUGCUAAGUCAGGGGUGAAAGACGGUGGCUCAACCAUCGCAGUGCCUUUGAUACUGGUGCGCUUGAAUGCGGAUGAGGUAGGCGGAAUGUGGCAAGUAGCGGUGAAAUGCAUAGAUAUGCCACAGAACACCGAUUGCGAAGGCAGCUUACCAAGGCGCGAUUGACGCUGAUGCACGAAAGCGUGGGGAUCGAACAGG
rnacentral:rRNA from 1 species